rfam:Oryza punctata chromosome 5, whole genome shotgun sequence.
AAUAAGUGUAGUUUUUGCAUUGUUCAUGUUCAAAUGUUUUGACCAUCCGUCUUAUUUGAAAAAAUUUUAUGAUUAGUAUUUUUAUUGUUAUUAGAUGAUAAAACAUGAAUAGUACUUUAUGUGUGACUAAUUAUUUUUAAUUUUUUCAUAAAUUUAUUAAAUAAGACGGACAGUCAAACGUUGAACACGGAUAUCCACGGCUGCGCUUAUU